CUUGAAUUAAAUAAAAGUACAAAAUUUACUGUUUAUUAGGAGUUUUUGGUGUGGAUAAGCUCUUGCUUGCUGGAAAAAUCCAUUUUCAAACGAUAUGCUGAAGAUUGCAUAAAUACAGAUGCGUAAUUCAGCAAAACUGGCAUUUUUCUUACACUCAUAUUGCCCUGUAAGAAGUAAAUUAUAAUUUAUUUUAUACAAAUUUACAAAAAUGGCUAAAAACGUAUUUACCUGAAAAGGAUAUUCAAAUCCAGUUAAGAAUCUUUUGCUUGCCGAAAAUAAAUUUGACAUUGCUGGUGAGCCAACUGUUUGCUUGACAAUUUGACAUAAUAAAAAUAAGUAAAUUACUGUUGCUUGAUAAACAGGACGUGGUAAAAAACAACCACAAUUUAAUUGAUGGUUAUUAUCCCCGGUAACUGUGGUAUUG